rnacentral:rRNA from 1 species
AGCUUAGCAGCUAGUCCCCCAUCAAAAACAACUAUCCACAUCAAUACCCCCUAAUAUACGCAAUAACACUAAAACAAAACAUUUUUCCCCUCCAGUAUAGGUGAUAGAAAAAGGAAUAUGGAACGACAGAGAAAGUACCGCAAGGGAAUGCUGAAAGAGAAAUGAAACAACUCAGUACAAGCCUAAAAAAGCAGAGAUUAUUGCUCG